rnacentral:misc_RNA from 1 species
GAUGAAGAACGCAGCGAAAUGCGAUACUUGGUGUGAAUUGCAGAAUCCCGUGAACCAUCGAGUCUUUGAACGCAAGUUGCGCCCGAAGCCAUUAGGCCGAGGGCACGCCUGCCUGGGCGUCACACGUCGUUGCCCCCCCAUCUACUCCUUCGGGAUUGCGGGGGGCGGAUGAUGGCCUCCCGUGCGCCUCGCCGCGCGGUUGGCAUAAAUGCCAAGUCCUCGGCGACGCACGCCACGACAAUCGGUGGUUGCGAAACCUCGGUUGCCCGUCGUGUGCGGUCGUCGCGCAUCGAGGGCUCGAAAAAAUUGCCGGGUUCCGGCUCGGCUUUCAACGCGACCCCAGGUCAGGCGGGGAUACCCGCUGAAUUUAAGCAUAUCAAUAAGCGGAGGA